rnacentral:rRNA from 1 species
GUGGGGAAUAUUGCACAAUGGGGGAAACCCUGAUGCAGCGACGCCGCGUGAGCGAAGAAGUAUUUCGGUAUGUAAAGCUCUAUCAGCAGGGAAGAAAAUGACGGUACCUGACUAAGAAGCUCCGGCUAAAUACGUGCCAGCAGCCGCGGUAAUACGUAUGGAGCAAGCGUUAUCCGGAUUUACUGGGUGUAAAGGGAGCGCAGGCGGUCUGGCAAGUCUGAUGUGAAAGGCCGGGGCUCAACCCCGGGACUGCAUUGGAAACUGUCAGGCUGGAGUAUCGGAGGGGCAGGCGGAAUUCCUAGUGUAGCGGUGAAAUGCGUAGAUAUUAGGAGGAACACCGGUGGCGAAGGCGGCCUGCUGGACGAAAACUGACGCUGAGGCUCGAAAGCGUGGGGAGCAAACAGG